rnacentral:rRNA from 1 species
GUGGGGAAUAUUGGGCAAUGGGCGCAAGCCUGACCCAGCAACGCCGCGUGAGGGAAGAAGGCUUUCGGGUUGUAAACCUCUGUCCUUGGUGACGAAACAAAUGACGGUAGCCAAGGAGGAAGCCCCGGCUAACUACGUGCCAGCAGCCGCGGUAAUACGUAGGGGGCGAGCGUUGUCCGGAAUUACUGGGCGUAAAGGGUGAGUAGGUGGCCUUUUAAGUUGGAUGUGAAAUACCCGGGCUUAACUUGGGGGGUGCAUCCAAAACUGGGAGGCUAGAGUGCAGGAGAGGAAAGCGGAAUUCCUAGUGUAGCGGUGAAAUGCGUAGAUAUUAGGAGGAACACCAGUGGCGAAGGCGGCUUACUGGACUGUAACUGACGCUGAGGCGCGAAAGUGUGGGGAGCAAACAGGAUUAGAAACCCCAGUAGUCC